rnacentral:rRNA from 1 species
AAUGCUGACAUAAGUAACGAUAAAGCGGGUGAAAAGCCCGCUCGCCGGAAGACCAAGGGUUCCUGUCCAACGUUAAUCGGGGCAGGGUGAGUCGACCCCUAAGGCGAGGCCGAAAGGCGUAGUCGAUGGGAAACGGGUUAAUAUUCCCGUACUUGGUGUUACUGCGAAGGGGGGACGGAGAAGGCUAUGUUGGCCGGGCGACGGUUGUCCCGGUUUAAGCGUGUAGGUGUGUGUUCCAGGUAAAUCCGGUUCACUUUAACACUGAGGCGUGACGACGAGGCACCACGGUGCUGAAGCAACAAAUGCCCUGCUUCCAGGAAAAGCCUCUAAGCAUCAGGUAACAUCAAAUCGUACCCCAAACCGACACAGGUGGUCAGGUAGAGAAUACCAAGGCGCUUGAGAGAACUCGGGUGAAGGAACUAGGCAAAAUGGUGCCGUAACUUCGGGAGAAGGCACGCUGACACGUAGGUGAAGUGAUUUACUCAUGGAGCUGAAGUCAGUCGAAGAUACCAGCUGGCUGCAACUGUUUAUUAAAAACACAGCACUGUGCAAACACGAAAGUGGACGUAUACGGUGUGACGCCUGCCCGGUGCCGGAAGGUUAAUUGAUGGGGUCAGCGCAAGCGAAGCUCCUGAUCGAAGCCCCGGUAAACGGCGGCCGUAACUAUAACGGUCCUAAGGUAGCGAAAUUCCUUGUCGGGUAAGUUCCGACCUGCACGAAUGGCGUAAUGAUGGCCAGGCUGUCUCCACCCGAGACUCAGUGAAAUUGAACUCGCUGUGAAGAUGCAGUGUACCCGCGGCAAGACGGAAAGACCCCGUGAACCUUUACUAUAGCUUGACACUGAACAUUGAGCCUUGAUGUGUAGGAUAGGUGGGAGGCUUUGAAGCGUGGACGCCAGUCUGCGUGGAGCCGGCCUUGAAAUACCACCCUUUAAUGUUUGAUGUUCUAACGUGGACCCGUGAUCCGGGUUGCGGACAGUGUCUGGUGGGUAGUUUGACUGGGGCGGUCUCCUCCUAAAGAGUAACGGAGGAGCACGAAGGUUGGCUAAUCCUGGUCGGACAUCAGGAGGUUAGUGCAAUGGCAUAAGCCAGCUUGACUGCGAGCGUGACGGCGCGAGCAGGUGCGAAAGCAGGUCAUAGUGAUCCGGUGGUUCUGAAUGGAAGGGCCAUCGCUCAACGGAUAAAAGGUACUCCGGGGAUAACAGGCUGAUACCGCCCAAGAGUUCAUAUCGACGGCGGUGUUUGGCACCUCGAUGUCGGCUCAUCACAUCCUGGGGCUGAAGUAGGUCCCAAGGGUAUGGCUGUUCGCCAUUUAAAGUGGUACGCGAGCUGGGUUUAGAACGUCGUGAGACAGUUCGGUCCCUAUCUGCCGUGGGCGCUGGAAGACUGAGGGGGGCUGCUCCUAGUACGAGAGGACCGGAGUGGACGCAUCACUGGUGUUCGGGUUGUCAUGCCAAUGGCACUGCCCGGUAGCUAAAUGCGGAAGAGAUAAGUGCUGAAAGCAUCUAAGCACGAAACUUGCCCCGAGAUGAGUUCU